rnacentral:rRNA from 1 species
AGAGUUCGAUCAUGGCUCAGAUUGAACGCUGGCGGCAUGCCUUACACAUGCAAGUCGAACGGCAGCGCGGGAGCAAUCCUGGCGGCGAGUGGCGAACGGGUGAGUAACGCAUCGGAACGUGUCCUGUAAUGGGGGAUAACCAGUCGAAAGAUUGGGUAAUACCGCAUACGCUCGAGAGAGGAAAGUGGGGGAUCGCAAGACCUCACGUUAUAGGAGCGGCCGAUGUCCGAUUAGCUAGUUGGUGAGGUAAAGGCUUACCAAGGCGACGAUCGGUAGCUGGUCUGAGAGGAUGAUCAGCCACACUGGGACUGAGACACGGCCCAGACUCCUACGGGAGGCAGCAGUGGGGAAUUUUGGACAAUGGGCGAAAGCCUGAUCCAGCCAUGCCGCGUGCAGGAAGAAGGCCUUCGGGUUGUAAACUGCUUUAGUCUAGGAAAAAGGAUGCUUGGAUAAUACCCAAGUGUUUUAAUGGUACUGNAAGAAUAAGCACCGGCUAACUACGUGCCAGCAGCCGCGGUAAUACGUAGGGUGCAAGCGUUAAUCGGAAUUACUGGGUGUAAAGCGUGCGCAGGCGGUUUGUUAAGACAGUUGUGAAAGCCCCGGGCUUAACCUGGGAACUGCAAUUGUGACUGGCAAGCUAGAGUGUGGCAGAGGGGGGUGGAAUUCCACGUGUAGCAGUGAAAUGCGUAGAGAUGUGGAGGAACACCGAUGGCGAAGGCACAAACCGGAGGAAGGUGGGGAUGACGUCAAGUCCUCAUGGCCCUUAUGGGUAGGGCUACACACGUCAUACAUCGGUCGGUACAAAGGGUUGCCAACCCGCGAGGGGGAGCUAAUCUCAUAAAGCCGAUCGUAGUCCGGAUCGUAGUCUGCAACUCGACUGCGUGAAGUCGGAAUCGCUAGUAAUCGUGGAUCAGCAUGUCACGGUGAAUACGUUCCCGGGUCUUGUACACACCGCCCGUCACACCAUGGGAGUGGAAUCCGCCAGAAGUGGGUGGCCUAACCGCAAGGGGGGCGCUCACCACGGUAGGUUUCAUGACUGGGGUGAAGUCGUNACAAGGUAGCCGUAUCGGAAGGUGCGGCUGGNUCACCUCCUUUCU